ACGCUCGACACCUACGGGGGCAGCAGUGAGGAAUAUUGGUCAAUGGACGCAAGUCUGAACCAGCCAUGCCGCGUGCAGGAUGACGGCUCUAUGAGUUGUAAACUGCUUUUGUACGAGGGUAAACGCAGAUACGUGUAUCUGUCUGAAAGUAUCGUACGAAUAAGGAUCGGCUAACUCCGUGCCAGCAGCCGCGGUAAUCUGAGCGGGCUGGCAAGGC
rnacentral:rRNA from 1 species